rnacentral:misc_RNA from 1 species
AGUACAAGCGGUGAGAAUGGCAUUUGGCAUUUGUGCGUGAAAUUGUAUUAGUUUUUGUAAGAACAAGUGCAUAUUUCUCACAAUAGCAGUUUCUUCCCAGUGGCCCUCGCGUAUUUGUGCAAUAAUUUAACUCCUUCAAGUGUUAAAAGUAUGUGUUGUGUAAAACCGUUUGUGUAUCGAAAAUUUUCUAUGUGAAUGGGUUGGGGUGGUUACUCCAGGUUUUGUUUCGUGCUUUGCAAUAAUGGAUUGACUUCCCGCUAACAUCGUUGGAAUUUAAAACAUUCGCGCAAGACCGGGAUGGAUGAAGGUCUACUCAAUGACCUGCUGGAGUGUUCCGUCUGUCUGGAGCGCCUGGACACCUCCUCUCGCGUCCUGCCAUGCCAGCACACGUUCUGUCUUAAAUGUCUUAAGGUAAUCGUCGAGUCCCACAAGGAGCUGCGAUGUCCCGAAUGCCGGGUCCUGGUGGAGGCGAAGGUGGAGGAGCUGCCUCCAAAUGUGCUCCUCAUGAGGAUCCUGGAGGGCAUGAAGAACUCGGCGCCGAGGAAGGUCAGCGCGCAACGCGUGAGGACCGGCCAUGGUCAGUCUCGAAUGUUCCAGAAUCAGCUGACACAGCAGACGUCUCGAUCAGAUAAGCAGAUGCCGCACGGCAGAGCGAUGUACGACUACAUAUCUAAAGAACCUGGCGACCUUUCGUUCAAGAAGGGUGAAACAGUAUUGUUCCAGAAGAAAUUGGAUCCGUUCUGGUAUCAUGGAGAAUGUUCUGGAAGGAGUGGUAUCUUCCCUAUCUCAUAUGUACAGGUGGUAGUACCGCUGCCAGUGGCCACUGCGCUGUGCAAAGCAUUGUACGACUUCCGAAUGUCCGCGCCCGAUGAGGAAGGCUGUCUCGCUUUUGAUAAAGGAGCAAUUAUAACAGUGCACCGUCGCGUCGAUGAGAACUGGGCCGAGGGCCGGCUCGACCAGCGCGUGGGUAUCUUCCCCAUUGCCUUCGUUGAGUUGAACCAAGCAGCGAGGCAGCUUAUGAACAGUACUCCAGUGAAUCGUCCCGUCCCACCGAUACCGGACCACGCGAGGCCGGGACACUCCGACCAUAGACAUACUCAGCAUCCUCACCGAUACCAGCAAAUGUCCAUAUCCACACCGUCAUCCGCGCAAGGCAACUACCAGAACAUGGCCACGAUGAGCCAAUCGCAGCCAACGUUCCACGCCAACGCGCCAAUAUUGGCCCAGCCCUCGCAAAUAUUGGCGCCAACCGGUUGGGCGGACACACAACACGUCCCCAUGCAGCGAAACAUCAUGGAACGCGCACAGACAAAAAACCUCCUCGACAUCAUAGACUUCACUAACUCGCACAAAGCGAUCGGCGUGCAGAGCGUGUCGCGCAUCGGCGAGAACUACGAUCGAGUUAGGACCAAAUUCGACAACUACUCGACGAAACUCGACGCGACCUACCAGAACGUGAGGGCGCAUGAACACUUCCCAGUCACCACCGGUUUCAACUCGAACAUCAGCUCCGACUCGAGUUCGAGCAUGAACACGCCGUGCUCGACGACCACGCCCAACACGAGCUCGAACACGAGCACGUGCGAAAGCGCCGAGCCCAGCUUGCCGAGCUCGCCGGACAACAACACAGAGAGGAAUACGACGGUUAUCGCGCAAGAGGAGACGCAAGAGAACCAAGAUGUCAAUACGUCGAUGGGCGUUCUCAGCUUGAACGAGAGCUCGACGGCCACAAACACGUCCUUGAAUGUCAGCUUGCCGUCGGAGAGUCCGAAAUUGAAUGCGUCCACCGCGUCCAGCGCUUCGCAGAAUCAAGGCGAGUGCCAAGAAAUCGCAAGCAACAAUGAACCUACGAGCCUUCCGUGUACGUCUAAGAAUAUACGAUCGAGUGGACCGGAUUCGAUACUGAAUUUCGGCCUGGGAUUGCAAGCGGCGUUGUCUCCGUCUCAUAGUAAAGACAGUAACUAUAUGGUCACAAGAGCGCAUAGGGACCAUCAUCAUAGAGAGAAGAGACACAGUUUGACUCCGUCGUCGCAUUUGCAAGGGAAUCAUACGCAAAAUCGUCACUCCGCCGAGAUCCUAGCGACCAGUCUGCUGGACCACACGCCAGACAGAGAGCGAGAUAGGCCGGAGCGCGAGCGCGAGCGGGAGCGGGAGAGGGAGAGAGAGAGACGACGACGCCGGUCGCGCAGCAACGAGCGCCCUCUGCCGGCGGCCUAUGUGGCACUCUAUCCGUACAAGCCGCAGAAGCCGGAUGAGCUCGAGUUGAAGAAAGGAGGUGUGUACACAGUGAGAGAGAGAUGCAGAGACGGCUGGUACAAGGGCUGGUGCGAGAGACUGCAGCGGGCUGGAGUUUUCCCCGGCAACUACGUGGCCCCACUCACACCGUUGGCCACUAGGGUUAAACAUGAUAAGAACGUCGCGAGUCCAUCGUCAUCCAUUGUGAAAGUGGCGCCGACAAGCAACGCCAUGAACGCCACGAACGCAACUAACGCCACUAACGCCACGAACGCCACCAAUGCCACGAACGCCACGCCCGCCUCGAGCUCCAGUGGCAACUGUGGCAAUAAUCUCGCACCGCCAGACGCGCCACCGAGAGCCAACAGUCCUUUAGCGACUAACGCUCAACCGUUAACAUAUCCAUGGAGUUCCCCCGCACCUCAGCAGAGCACGCCGCGUCCUGAGAAGAAGGACAAAGCGAAAUCGGAGAAGUCGUCCAUAUCGACGGGCGUGAGCCUCAUGAAGCGGCUCGCAGCGAUGAAGAAGUGCAAGUCGCCGCCGCCCGCCGGCUACAGCAUGGACAACCCGGUGUUCGACGACUCGCCCAACACCUCGCUGCUGUACACGCCGCCGCAGCACGCGGUGCACGUGCGGUCGGGCUCAUGCCCAUCGCAAUUGCUACGCACGUUGCCCGGGCAUGGCUCUGCCUCUAGCGGGCAUUCGUCUGCCCCCACUGCGCACUCGUCUGCCCCAACCGGGCACGCGACCGCCGUUACGGGGCACGCUUCUGCCUCCACCGGGCAUAUAUCUGCCCAGGGCGGACAUAAUGCGAUGUCCAGACACAAGGAAAGGCCGCACGAUCAUCGCAUGCACAGCAGGGGCAGCGCGGAGGGCCCGUGGCAGAGCCAGCACCGCAAGUCGCAGUCGCUGGACGUGACGGCCGCGCGCCGCGAGCGGCACCACUCCCAGCCAGUUAAGGAGAGAUUCCGCUGUAUAGUGCCGUACCCGCCGAACUCUGAAUACGAGCUCGAGUUGAAAGUGGACGAUAUAGUGAUGGUGUGCAAGAAACGCGGCGACGGCUGGUACAAGGGCACAUUGCAGCGGACGGGACGAACGGGACUCUUCCCCGCCUCCUUUGUGCAGAGUUACCCGCCCGAAUGACGUCACUAUUGAAGAACUCGCCAGAUUUGAGCACAGCCAAUCAGCGGUCAGCGUGGCGUUGAUGUGAUUAGUCAGAGAUUUUCGAAAAUUUUGGAUAUGCCAAUCGACGAUCAGCAUAGCAUUGAUGUGAUUGGUUGUAGAUUGACAACGCAUCUGAUUGGUUCUUUUAUUGAAAUUUGAAAAGAUGAACAGUUCAAAAUGUGCUCAAAACUCGCGAUGUGCUCUAUUGUUCGUGAUACGGACAUUAUUUAGUUGUUUUUGACAGCUAUUACACUGAAAUAUUGACAAGAGGGCAGAUGGAUUUUGUAAUACAUAAUUUUAUAGUGAUGCAUGAAUAUGUCAAUAUUAAUGGGCCAUUGUAUUAAAUAAUUUCGCCAUCUAUGUAUGUCUCACGGAUUUCAACUUCGUUAUAAAUUAAAUCGUCAAAUUAAAUAUUACUAGAUAGAGAUUUUUUAAGACGAAAAAACGAUAAACUAAGCAAAACAACUGAUAAAACUGACACAAACAAAUACUCAAGACAUCACAAAUUUUCCCAAACGAAUAACAAGUGACGCAAUUAACGAAUUUUGACAUUAGCAAUAAAAGUUCGCGCCAAAAUUGGACAUUAAACAUGGCGGCUUACGGACAAAUGAAAAAAAAAUUGUGGAUCAUUUCGUAGAAUUAGAAUAGAGUAUUUUAUAACUAUUGUAUAAAACCCUUUUACAUUUAGACAAAUUGUGAAUUUAUUAUUUAGUUUCGAUACGCUUAUUAUUUUAAUUUUAUGCUUUUAUUUACAAAACGACACCAGUUGAUGCUGGGUUAAUUUAAUUAUUUUUUGUGGCAAGUUUCGCGACUUAAUUAUACCACUGCCAUAUUAUUACAUCGUUUAUACCUAUUACUAAUUAACAGAAAAACCUUAAUUUUUAUAAACUCAGUGUUGCCACAUGAAAGUUGAAAAGUAGAAACGCAUGUUUUUCCUAAAAUUUUACAUUAUAUUUGAAUUUUGAAUUAAUAUUAAAGUAAAUUUAACUUGCAACACUGAUACCACUUAUACUCCCUUUUAGAUUGUAUUCAUUUAGAAAAAUAUAUUUAAAUAAAAAUAUAUUAUGGU